GCUAUCAUUCUACUAUUUAUUUGUUUUAAAAAUUAACUUGCUGGUUUCAAAAAUGCAUUAGACAAACAUUCGACCUAAACACGGUAUCUAAAUCUACCCCCUGUCAGACAGCUACCAGGAGAGACCAUCUAAAUCUACCCCCUUUAAGGGUGCUUUUAGAUGCCCUCUAGGUAGAAUCACGCAAAGGUGAACUUUGAAAAAUUGUCUCGCACGGAAGGUGUUAACAUGAUGUAUAAUCGUUGUAUAAUCACGGUGUCAUUCUAAUUUAAGUUUCGUUUCAAAUUUAUAACACCUAAUUUUUCUCGAUCACGUGACGUUCUAUUUCUCCGUCGAUAUACUGUAUAUGUUGCAAAUGUCAGAGGAGCGGUCAGAGGUGCUCUCAUCAGCUCAACACAUUCGCAGCUAUUUGAUCAGUUCAAAAGUAUAAUGAAUUAAUGAAGAACAAAGUAAAACGACACAAGUAUUUAUAUAGAGGUAACAUUUUUAAUUCUGCUCUGAAAUGUCGAGCAAAGAUGAGGAUACGUUUUGUAAACAAAUGCGAAAAGCCACGAGGGAAGUUCAUAAAAUUAGUGACACUUUAGUGAAUGCAAAAUUAGCGUUUGCUUAACUCCUGCCAUCUGAUGUAUUCUUCUCGUAAUUAUGGCCGAAAUCUACUCCGAUAGAGGUGCUAGUUUCACUUGUGUUGGGUGAUUCGAAAAUACGUUAUGAUCUUGGAAGUUGGAAUGAAAGGAGUACGGAGGAUAGCAAUAAUAUUAAAACAUAUAAAAAUUCUUAAUGAGCCAGUUUAUUACAAUACAAGUUGGACAAUGUGGAAACCAAAUUGGCUCAGCAUUUUGGCCCCUGGCAUUGCACGAGUACGGCAUAGACACUGCAAAUACUGGCAUGAAUUUACUUAAGAUACAACGAAAUUACAUUAAAAAUCUAAGCGAUUUAUCAGACGCGUUUCAUAGCUUUUUUUUCGUACCCGACAAUCGGCAUGAUUUUUGUUUCAAGACUGUAAAUGAUUUGAGAAGAGCUAAAGUUAAAGCCAGAGCAAUAUUAAUAGAUAUGGAAGAUAGUGUUGUAGGAGGAUUAAAGAGAGGUCCUUUGCGUGAUUUGUUUGAUCAAAAAUGCACAGUGACUAAUUACCCAGGAUGUGGAAAUAAUUGGGCUGUAGGUUAUCAUACUUAUGGUAAUGAAUAUCAUGAAAAACUGGAGGAUGCUAUAAGACUUACAGUAGAAAAAUGUUCACAGCUACAUGGUUUCCUAAUUUUGCAUUCUCUUGGAGGUGGUACUGGUUCUGGUUUAGGAACAGCUGUUUUAAAAUUACUAGCUGACAAUUAUCCAGUAGUAGAUAGAUUAGUAUCUUGUAUAUAUCCAACAGCCAUGCAAGAUGUUGUUACAGCACCUUAUAAUGCACUGUUAGCAACACAAGAACUCAUAGAACAUGCAACAUGUGUAUUUCCUAUAGAAAACACAUCCCUCCUGGAUAUAUGCAAUGCACAAUUGAGAAAGAAAGAGAAUAUAAAUCAGCUGAACUAUAAUAUUUCGUGUAAACCAUUUCAAGACAUGAACAGUAUCAUUGUAAACAUGCUUCUCCAUUUAACUAGUGGAUCCAGAUUUCCUGGUAGCUUAAAUAUUGAUAUGAAUGAAAUAGCGACGAAUCUUGUUGCGUAUCCGAAAUUACAGUACAUAUUUAGCAGUGUUAGCCCGACAGCGUUAACUGGAUCCUCAAUGUGCACAACUCAGGGAACAAAAUUAAUCGACGAAUUAUUCGCUGAUGCCUGGUCACGGAACAAUCAGUUGAUCAAAGUAGAUCCGCUACAAGCCGAUUCAAAAGUAUUAAGCGCCGCACAUAUUGUCAGAGGGAACUGUUUUAUAAGCGAUUUAAAACGAAACAUUGAAAAAUUUCAACGGAAAAGUACGUGCACGGAAUGGAGCAGAGAUGCUAUGAAGAUAGGUUUGUGCUCUGUACCUCCAGCUGGGCAUUCAACAUCUUUGCUGUGCCUUUUAAACUCUUCCUCAAUGUCCUUGUUGUUUAAAAAUAUAAUAAAACAGUUUGUUACGUUAUACAAGAGGAAGGCACAUGUGUAUCACUACACGCAAGUACGUGGUUUCGAAGAAGCACAUUUCGUUAAUAGCAAAGAGAUCAUAUUGAACUUGAUCGCGCGGUACACGGAACUAGAAAAUCAGAGACCAACGAGUAUAUCACGGCUGCAAAUCAUUUAAUUACGUCACAACAAAUUUGAUGGAGCCAGAUGUGCUGUUUUCAAAAGGCGCGUGGAAACCGAAACGAACUUCUUAAAAAUAUGGGACGCGCAGCAAAAUCCCUACUUUAGAGGAGGUACAGUUGAUACAUCAGAGCGUACGAACCGAACUCUUUUAAGAUGAUCUACACCCGGUCGACGUGAAAACGAAUCAGUUUCCUCGUCUGACAGAAGAGGGAAAAGACGAGGCGCGCGCGUUGGGCGCGUAAUUGAAACCGGAGAAGGGAAGAUAGUUGGGUCGGUCAAAGGGAAAUACGGUGGUGAGGAUGGCUAUGGAGGUUUUCUCUGAUUAUCGGUAGCGGUGGUGGCGGCGGCGGCUAAAACGCGGAUACGAACGCGCGUGCGUGACCGAUGUCGCCGCACGACGCAACAGCGACGUAGCGACGACGACGUCGACGAGGACGAGGACGAGGACGAAGCGGCGGCCGAAGAUCGCCGAGCGCACGGGUACGCGAAGAGACUACGGCUGGUAUGGUGAGGGCCGCGGCACGGCCACAGUGUUCUAAAAGUCGGCAGCACGCACGAAUCGUAUCAGGCGCGACGCAGAGCGACGAAGCUGCGUCGUCGAAUCGCGGUCUCCUGGCCACCGAUCGUGUGCGGCUAGCAGCUAGGCAGCCAGGGACAGCGAACAGUCAGCCGGCUGCUCGAUUGGCAAUCGAGCCAGUCUGCGUUUGCCGAGUCACGGGAAACUCGAGGCGACUUUGCGGAGGAACCGCUGCUGCUCCGUAUCGGUUCUGAAAACGAGCGAGCGAAUACGAGAUAAGGAGAGAGAGAGAGA